GUGCCGAUUCGAUCGGGAUACUCAUCAAAAAAAUAAUGAAACCGAGAUAGCUUCGUUUGUCAAUGGCGGGCCACAUAAAAUCUGCAACUGCCAGAACUAAGUCGCAAGACCGGUGGAUUACAAAGGCAAAGAGCCCUCAAAGCAUGUACAUGUAGGAGUUUCAUCACAUCAUCGGGCAAC
rnacentral:sRNA from 1 species